AUGAUCAGCCACACUGGAACUGAGACACGGUCCAGACUCCUACGGGAGGCAGCAGUAGGGAAUAUUGCGCAAUGGGGGAAACCCUGACGCAGCCACGCCGCGUGAGUGAGGAAGGCCCUANGGUGUAAAGCUCUGUCCUAA
rnacentral:rRNA from 1 species